UGCGGAGGGAUCAUUACCGAGUUUACAACUCCCAAACCCCUGUGAACAUACCUAUACGUUGCCUCGGCGGAUCAGCCCGCGCCCCGUAAAAAGGGACGGCCCGCCCGAGGACCCCUAAACUCUGUUUUUAGUGGAACUUCUGAGUAAAACAAACAAAUAAAUCAAAACUUUCAACAACGGAUCUCUUGGUUCUGGCAUCGAUGAAGAACGCAGCAAAAUGCGAUAAGUAAUGUGAAUUGCAGAAUUCAGUGAAUCAUCGAAUCUUUGAACGCACAUUGCGCCCGCCAGUAUUCUGGCGGGCAUGCCUGUUCGAGCGUCAUUUCAACCCUCAAGCUCAGCUUGGUGUUGGGACUCGCGGUAACCCGCGUUCCCCAAAUCGAUUGGCGGUCACGUCGAGCUUCCAUAGCGUAGUAAUCAUACACCUCGUUACUGGUAAUCGUCGCGGCCACGCCGUAAAACCCCAACUUCUGAAUGUUGACCUCGGAUCAGGUAGGAA
rnacentral:sRNA from 1 species